rnacentral:rRNA from 1 species
AGUGAACGCUGGCGGUAGGCCUAACACAUGCAAGUCGAACGGCAGCACAGUAAGAGCUUGCUCUUACGGGUGGCGAGUGGCGGACGGGUGAGGAAUACAUCGGAAUCUACUUUUUCGUGGGGGAUAACGUAGGGAAACUUACGCUAAUACCGCAUACGACCUACGGGUGAAAGCAGGGGAUCUUCGGACCUUGCGCGAUUGAAUGAGCCGAUGUCGGAUUAGCUAGUUGGCGGGGUAAAGGCCCACCAAGGCGACGAUCCGUAGCUGGUCUGAGAGGAUGAUCAGCCACACUGGAACUGAGACACGGUCCAGACUCCUACACGAGGCAGCAGUGGGGAAUAUUGGACAAUGGGCGCAAGCCUGAUCCAGCCAUACCGCGUGGGUGAAGAAGGCCUUCGGGUUGUAAAGCCCUUUUGUUGGGAAAGAAAAGCAGCAGGUUAAUACCCCGCUGUUCUGACGGUACCCAAAGAAUAAGCACCGGCUAACUUCGUG